AAUAAGUGCAGUUUUGCACUAUUCACGUUCAACGUUUGACCGUCCGUCUUAUUUAAAAAAUUUGUGAAAAAAUUAAAAACAUUUAGUCACACAUAAAGUACUAUUCAUGUUUUAUUAUCUAAUAGCAAUAAAAAUACUAAUCAUAAAAAAUUUUCAAAUAAGAUGGACGGUCAAACGUUGAACAUGAAUAGUGUAAAACUGUACUUAUU
rnacentral:pre_miRNA from 1 species